rnacentral:rRNA from 1 species
GAUGAACGCUGGCGGCGUGCCUAAUACAUGCAAGUCGAGCGAACAGACGAGGAGCUUGCUCCUCUGACGUUAGCGGCGGACGGGUGAGUAACACGUGGAUAACCUACCUAUAAGACUGGGAUAACUUCGGGAAACCGGAGCUAAUACCGGAUAAUAUAUUGAACCGCAUGGUUCAAUAGUGAAAGACGGCUUUGCUAUCACUUAUAGAUGGAUCCGCGCCGCAUUAGCUAGUUGGUAAGGUAACGGCUUACCAAGGCAACGAUACGUAGCCGACCUGAGAGGGUGAUCGGCCACACUGGAACUGAGACACGGUCCAGACUCCUACGGGAGGCAGCAGUAGGGAAUCUUCCGCAAUGGGCGAAAGCCUGACGGAGCAACGCCGCGUGAGUGAUGAAGGUCUUCGGAUCGUAAAACUCUGUUAUUAGGGAAGAACAAAUGUGUAAGUAACUAUGCACGUCUUGACGGUACCUAAUCAGAAAGCCACGGCUAACUACGUG